CCCAGCUCGUCAUGCUAGAGCACUUUUUUCAAUGGGCUCCCCAACGACGCAUUCGUAUGAAAUCCAUAUCAACAUAAGGAUGCCAUUUACUGCGCCUACCAUGGUGACCACUUGUAAGGGGGAAUCAGGGUUUGAUUCCGGAGAGGGAGCCUGAGAAAUGGCUACCACAUGCAAGGAAGGCAGCAGGCACGCAAAUGACCCACUCCUGACGCAGGAAAGUAGUGACG